CAUCUAAAAAAGAAGCGAUGGCGAUGGCGAUUAGGGUUUCGUGUUGAAUGGUUCUCGACGGCGGUUUUCGAGAUGUGUCUUGGUGGCUUCUAUUUGGGUUUUUGGAUCAUAUCGAUGGAGAUCAGCGAUCUCUAUUGCCUUUAAUGGUGGUAGAACACGUUCCGGUGGAUCUGGUAUCUGAGGAUUGGGGAGAGAGGGAUCUCAUUUUCCAAAAUUUGCGAUCGGGUGUUUGAUUGGUAUCAUUGUUUGUGAAGGAUCCGAUCUGCUUGGAUAUGGCUCUGGUAUAUUGGGGAUUCGUUUGUGGUUGGGAAGGGUGAUUCGGGUGUGAAUAUUGAAAGAGGGCGAUUUGGUGUCGGAUUUUCUCGACGGGUCAGGAAUCUGGGAUUUGGAAAGUGAGGGAUCUCGAUCUCCUGAUUUCGCAAUCGGGUGUUUGGUUGGUAUCACUGAUUGUGAAAGAUAUGAUUAGCUUGGAUAUGAUUCUAGUCUAUUGGGGAUUCGCUUAUAGUUUUGAUGGGCGAUUCAGGUGUGAAAGUGAAAAUGGAAUGAGGGAGAUUUGGUUUCAGAUGUUUUCGGGUUAUCAUGGCUCAAAUGAAUCUCAACAAAGGGAAGGUUGCUUUGGUUUCGAACAGAGACGGUGAAAAUCUCAAACUCUCUGAUGGCUCAACGUAUUCAACAAUUCUCUCUCACUCUCAUUGGGAGAUUGAUGGAAGCUUGAGGAGAGGGUUGAAGGUGCUGAUUUGGGUCAGGAUACAUUUCAGUUUAAUUUUCAAACCGAGGAAGAUCUUCAAGGCGUGCUAAGGAACGGUCCUUACCAUUUCGAUAAUUGGAUGUUAUCUUUGGUUCGAUGGGAACCAAUCAUUUCUGAUACUUAUCCUUCUGCCAUUAACUUUUGGGUGAAAGCUUCAGGGAUCCCUAUGCACUUUUGGGAGGCUGCAACCCUUCAAGCUAUUGGUAAGAAAAUAGGAAUUCUCCGUGAUGUAGAUGAGGAAUCUGGUAGUCUCUUUGUCACUAUAAAUGGGUUUAAUUUCUCUCAUUUUUCACCUGGUGGUUCCGUUUAACACUGGUGAUGAGGUGGUGGCCUCACUAGAGUAUGAGAAGCUCCUUGGUUUUUGCAGUCAUUGUUUUAUGCUGACACAUGAUGUGAAGGUCUGUCUAGAGCUAAGCAAGAGUGAGGGGGUCGGGGUCAGGGUGAAAUUGUUGAUAGGAGAGGAGGUUCAUGGAAUCAGCCAUUGUUAAAACCGAUUGUUCAACAUUUUGAGGGGGGCUGGGAAAAGCCAAGGAAAUUUGCUAAGCGUUCUUUGGAUUUUAAUUCAGAGGUAAAUAGAGACUGGGAUCACCAGCAGCAGCGUAUUAGUGAGAGUUCAAAGAGUGGUUUUAGAUAUCAGGCUAAAAGUCAGGGAGACUUGGGCCAACAAAAGGAGUCAUGGGAGAUAUGCGGAGGGCAGAGAGGGUCUGGGUAAUGUCAUGGUUCAACAAGCACGAUCGCAUCCUCCUAGGAAGGGGAAUGGUCCUGCCUGGCCAAAACCUUUGUAUCAAGCGAAGCAGAAGAAUGGUUCGCAGGUUGGUGGUGUUCUUGAGUCUGAAGUCCCUACGGUUGCUGAUGUGGUGGUUCAAGAGAAGGAUGCACUGAUGGCGGAUGUUAUUGGGGCUAGUGGAGGAGAUAAUGAGGCUGGGUUCUCCGUGAGUUCUGAUGAUCUUCUCGAGGAUGGGGAAUACUAGGAGGGUGAGGGUCAGGCUGACGAUACUGCUGCUGAUGAUGAGGAUGCUCAGACGGAUACAGAGAAGGGUGUGUUAGAGACCGACGAUGAUGCCCCACAAGGUGAUGCUGCAAAGAGUAAAGGGAUUGUCAGGCCAAACCAGAAGAAGCCAGAGGGUGGCAAUAAGGGAGGAGGAACCCGCAAACAGAAGAAAGGGAUGGUGGCUCUCCCGAAACCGCCGGCUCAAACGUGAAGAUCAUGAGUUGGAACUGUCAGGGCAUUGGUGCGAAUCUGACAGAGAACUAUUUGAAGGAUUUAUGGAAGCAGAAUAACCCAGAUAUUUUAAUUUUUAUCAGAAACAAAAAGUUGUUUUUCUCAUUUACAAAAGUUUCAGAAUAAAUUUCGUUAUCAUCAUUUGUAUACGGUUGAACCAUGUGGGUCUAGCGGUGGUUUAGCUAUUUUUUAUAAUGAUAAUAUAAAACUUGAAGUUA